GAAGGAGUGAUUAGAGCAGGCUUCUCAGACAAGGUGAUGGCGAGGGGCAAGCAUUCCUUGGUGUGUGGAAAGAUAAAGGCCGACUCCAGUUGGCUGAGUGCAAUGUCUCCUGUAAAUCCACAGUCUAAUCUUCACC